UUCCGGUUGAUCCUGCCGGACUCCACUGCUAUCGGGGUAAGGCUAAGCCAUGCAAGUCGAAGGCCUCCGGCUCCGGGGGCCUGGCGUACGGCUGAGUAACGCGUGGCCAACCUGCCCUGCGGAGGGGGAUAACCCCGGGAAACUGGGGAUAAACCCCCAUAGGUGACCGGAUCUGGAAGGACCGGUCGCCGAAAGUCCCGGUCGGGGAUGCUCCGGCCGGGAGCCGCAGGAUGGGGCUGCGUCCUAUCAGGUAGUUGGUGGGGUAACGGCCCACCAAGCCUGUGACGGGUAGGGGCCCUGAGAGGGGGAGCCCCCAGAUGGACUCUGAGACAAGAGUCCAGGCCCUACGGGGCGCAGCAGGCGCGAAAACUCCGCAAUGGGCGAAAGCCCGACGGGGUUACCCCGAGUGCCACCCUCGUGGUGGCUUUUGCCCGCUCUAAAAAGGCGGGCGAAUAAGGGGAGGGCAAGUCGGGUGUCAGCCGCCGCGGUAAUACCCGCUCCCCGAGUGGUGGAGGCUAUUACUGGGCCUAAAGCGCCCGUAGCCGGCCCGGUGUGUCCCUCGUUAAAUCCACGGGCUUAACCCGUGGGCUGCGGGGGAUACUACCGGGCUUGGGGGUGGGAGAGGCGCCCGGUAUUCCCGG
rnacentral:rRNA from 1 species